rnacentral:rRNA from 1 species
GACGAACGCUGGCGGCGUGCUUAACACAUGCAAGUCGAACGAUGAACCCGGAGCUUGCUCCGGUGGAUUAGUGGCGAACGGGUGAGUAACACGUGAGUAACCUGCCCUUGACUCUGGGAUAACUGCGGGAAACUGUAGCUAAUACCGGAUCCGACCCUCGGCGGCAUCGCCAGGGGGUGGAAAGAAUUUCGGUCAAGGAUGGACUCGCGGUCUAUAAGCUAGUUGGUGAGGUAACGGCUCACCAAGGCGACGACGGGUAGCCGGCCUGAGAGGGUGACCGGCCACACUGGGACUGAGACACGGCCCAGACUCCUACGGGAGGCAGCAGUGGGGAAUAUUGCACAAUGGGCGCAAGCCUGAUGCAGCAACGCCGCGUGAGGGAUGACGGCCUUCGGGUUGUAAACCUCUUUUAGUAGGGAAGAAGCGAAAGUGACGGUACCUAACCAGAAAGCCACGGCUAACUACGUGCCAGCCGCCGCAGUAA